rnacentral:rRNA from 1 species
AGUGAACGCUGGCGGUAGGCCUAACACAUGCAAGUCGAACGGCAGCACAGUAAGAGCUUGCUCUUACGGGUGGCGAGUGGCGGACGGGUGAGGAAUACAUCGGAAUCUACUUUUUCGUGGGGGAUAACGUAGGGAAACUUACGCUAAUACCGCAUACGACCUACGGGUGAAAGCAGGGGAUCUUCGGACCUUGCGCGAUUGAAUGAGCCGAUGUCGGAUUAGCUAGUUGGCGGGGUAAAGGCCCACCAAGGCGACGAUCCGUAGCUGGUCUGAGAGGAUGAUCAGCCACACUGGAACUGAGACACGGUCCAGACUCCUACGGGAGGCAGCAGUGGGGAAUAUUGGACAAUGGGCGCAAGCCUGAUCCAGCCAUACCGCGUGGGUGAAGAAGGCCUGCGGGUUGUAAAGCCCUUUUGUUGGGAAAGAAAAGCAGCAGGUUAAUACCCCGCUGUUCUGACGGUACCCAAAGAAUAAGCACCGGCGAACUUCGU